GUUCUCCCCGAAAUAGCUUUAGGGCUAGCGUCGGAAAGAACCUUAGUGAAGGUAGAGCACUGAAUGUGUGAUGGCCCCAUCCCGGGGUACUGAAUACAAUCAAACUGCGAAUGUCAUUAAGGAUGUCCGGCAGUCAGACUGUGAGUGAUAAGGUCCAUGGUCAAGAGGGAAACAGCCCAGACCGCCAGUUAAGGUCCCAAAAUACAGGCUAAGUGGAAAAGGAUGUGGGGAUGCCCAGACAACUAGGAGGUUGGCUCAGAAGCAGCCAUCCUUUAAAGAGUGCGUAACAGCUCACUAGUCGAGUGACCCUGCGCCGAAAAUGUACCGGGGCUAAGCCUGAUACCGAAACUGCGGAUUGUAGGAAACUAUAGUGGUAGGGGAGCGUUGUAUACGAGCAGAAGCCGUACCGUGAGGAGCGGUGGAUUGUAUAGAAGUGAGAAUGCCGGUGUGAGUAGCGAGAUGUAGGUGAGAAUCCUACACACCGAAAGCCCAAGGAUUCCAGGGGAAGGUUCGUCCGCCCUGGGUAAGUCGGGACCUAACGCGAGGCCGAAAGGCGUAGUGGAUGGAAAGCAGGCGAAAGAUUCCUGCACCCGUAUAUGGAGCGAAGGAGUGACGGAGACGGAUAGUGUGACCCUCUUAAUGGAUUGAGGGCGAAGCGAAGCGGCUGGUUACCAGGCAAAUCCGGUAACCAAAAGGCUAGAGCGUGACAGGUAAGCGAAAUCUUCGGAAAGUAGCGAAGCACAUGAUGACGGCUUCCAGGAAAAGCUUCUGGCAAUGCAUAUGCGGCCCGUACCAAAACCGACACAGGUGGGCAGGGAGAGAAUCCCGAGGUGAGCGAGAGAACUGUUGCCAAGGAACUCGGCAAAAUGACUCCGUAAGUUAGCGAGAAGGAGUGCUUAAGCAAUUAAGCCGCAGUGAAGAGGCCCAAGCGACUGUUUAACUAAAACACAGCUCUCUGCGAAGUCGCAAGACGAAGUAUAGGGGGUGACACCUGCCCGGUGCUGGAAGGUUAAGAGGAUCUGUUAAGAGCGAUCUGAAGCAGUGAUCCGAAGCCCCAGUGAACGGCGGCCGUAACUAUAACGGUCCUAAGGUAGCGAAAUUCCUUGUCAGGUAAG
rnacentral:rRNA from 1 species